GACGAACGCUGGCGGCGUGCUUAACACAUGCAAGUCGAACGAUGAAGAAGAGAAACGCGAACUUCGGUUCAAAUUUCACUUCGGAUUAGUGGCAGACGGGUGAGUAACGCGUGAGCAACCUACCUCUUACAAAGGGAUAGCCUCGGGAAACCGUGAUUAAUACCAUAUGACACAUUCAUAAGGCAUCUUAAGAAUGUUAAAGCUACGGCGGUAAGAGAUGGGCUCGCGUCCCAUUAGCUAGUUGGUGAGGUAACGGCCCACCAAGGCGACGAUGGGUAACCGGCCUGAGAGGUGAACGGUCACAUUGGAACUGAGACACGGUCCAAACUCCUACGGGAGGCAGCAGUGGGGAAUAUUGCACAAUGGAGGGAACUCUGAUGCAGCGACGCCGCGUGAGCGAUGAAGGAAUUCGUUUCGUAAAGCUCUGUUCUAUGGGAAGAAAAGGACUGUACCAUAGGAGAAAGCCCCGGCUAAAUACGUG
rnacentral:rRNA from 1 species